AUGACCACUUCUCUGGGGAAGGAGAGUUUCUUUGGCUCCAUCUGGAAUGGCUGGGAUUGGGCCUCCCUGCCCCGCCCCUCCAUAGCACAAGAGAGGUGUCAGUUUCUGAAAUCUGUCAUCAGUCACUGCACCAGCCUUCAGACUUGUGAAGUCCAAGGGCAAUGGGAGAAUGAGGCAGAAAUUCCCAGACCCCUCACAUUGCUACCUUCUGAUGUCUACAUGGAGGAAAAAGGGGAAGUGGGGGUUAGUCCCUGGGGAGGAGUUGGGCCAGAAAGGAGGAGAGAGCCAGCCCUGAGCUUCAAGGAGAGGUUCCUGGGUCCCUCUGAGGACAUUCUAAUUCAGGGGGCCUGGGGGGCCUGGGUGUUUCCAGUGAACCAUAUAAAAAUUCUUGUAGCUGUGCCAGGAUUUAACCACCACCAUUUCAAGCAAAUAGCAAAGACCAAGACCACCAAGAAGCACCCUCAGCACACAACAUCCAAUGUGCUUGCUAUGUUUGACCAGUCACAGAUUCAGGAGUUCAAAGAGGCCUUCAACAUGAUUGAUCAGAACAGAGAUAGUUUCAUCUACAGGGAAGAUUUGCAUGAUAUGCUUGCUUCAUUGGGGAAGAAUCCAAUUGAUGAGUUUCUGGAUACCAUGAUGAAUGAGGCUCCAGGCCCCAUCAAUUUCAGCAUGUUCCUCAUCGUUUUUGGUGAGAAGUUAAGUGGCACAGAUCCUGAAGAUGUCAUCAGAAAUGCUUUUGCUUGCUUUGAUUAAGAAGCAACUGGCACUAUUCAGGAAGAUUACCUGAAAGAGCUGCUGACAACCAUGGGGGAUCAAUUUAUGGAUGAGGAAGUGGAUGAUCUGUACAGAGAAGCACCUAUUGACAAAAAGGGGAAUUUCAGUUACAUCGAGUUCACACGCAUCCUGAAACAUGGAGCAAAAGACAAAGAUGACUGAAAGAACUUCAAAUUCCAGCCAAAUGUUCCUUGCUGCCACUUGGGUAUUUCUGAGAUUUUCUCUUGCAUGCCUUUAGCUUUACAGCUUUUGCAUUUCCUGUUGUAUUUAUUUUCAGCCAUUUUGGGCACAUGUAUCUUUAUACUCAGACUGGAAACAGGACUUUCUAUUAAUAUCAUUUUUAGAAUAGAAAAUAAGGUAAUUUAACCUACCAGCCAUCCCCUACCCCAAUAAUUGUGGUCUAUACAGAGUCAAUAUUUUUUUUCAGAGAAAGUUAUUUGCUCAAUUUUUUCUGAACCAUAAUUAAACUUUAUGAUUAAA